rfam:Schistosoma mansoni strain Puerto Rico chromosome 4, complete genome
CUAACUGCUGAGGAGUCCCAUACUAGGACGAAAUGGCCGUCCAGUAC